GAUCAAGCCACCAAGGGCAUGCGGUGGAUGUCUUGGCGUCCAGAGGCGAUGAAGGACGUUGGAACCUGCGAUAAGCCCAGGGGAGCUGGUAACCGAGCCGAGAUCCUGGGAUUUCCGAAUGGGGCAACCCACUCUUUAGAGAGUAUCUCACGCUGAAUGCAUAGGCGUGAGAAGCGAACGUGGUGAACUGAAACAUCUCAGUAAUCACAGGAAAAGGAAGCAACAGCGACUCCGUCAGUAGCGGCGAGCGAACGCGGAUCACCUCGCAGACCGGAUGAAGCGGAUGGAAUACCGCGCCCAAGAAGGUGAAAGCCCUGUAACCGGAAGCGAGGAUGCCUUCAAGUAGAGUCGGGCUCGUGAAACCCGGCUCGAAGAUGGGGGGUCCACCCUCCAAGGCUAAGUACUACUGGACGACCGAUAGCGAAUCAGUAAGGCGACUGAAUGAUGACAAGCACCCCGACAAGGGGAGUGAAAGAGUACCUGAAACCGCAUGCUUACAAGCGGUGGGAGCCCGCAA
rnacentral:rRNA from 1 species